UUUCCUAGGAAGCUGAUACUUACAGCAGUGGAGAUUAGCAAUACCUGGACAGAGUUGAGCUUCAAAGGACACUGAGAAAUGGCUAAAGCAGAUAAUAAAAAAAUGAGGAAAUGCUGUGAAGAACUAAUAGAACAUUUCAGAAGCAGAACAAGUUGAGAGCAGUGAUGACCCUUUUGUUCCUGCUAGUACCUCCUGUCUGUCUGGCCAAACUCACCAUCAGAUGAUGUCUUGAACCUCACCUAGAUGGGCUGGUGGUGUGUGGCCAGGUUAAGAGCACCAAGAGGAGUAAGAAAGUGACGUGCCUGGUUUUACCGUGUCCGCUAGGGGAGGGGUUGAAAGCUUUCUCUUGAUACAUCACCUCUGGGAGUUGAAGAAGAAUGCAAUUAAGAGAGCUAAAGAAGUCAGUAGGUAUCUCUCCUGAACAAUUCUGGUUUUCUUCUAAUAGCUUUUACAAUUUUUACCUCUGUUAUUAAAUGCAAACUCUUAACCAAUAUUAAUAGUAGUAAUCUCAAAUCUCAACAUCAAAAUCUUAUCUAUGAAAUAUAGGAGUUGGUUCAUAUACAGCUUUAGCCUUUUCCACGUUACAAAAUAUAUUCCAUAUAUAUGUGUGAUCUUCAUUUAACAUUCAAGUAAAUGUUGUAAGAUAUUGUUAUUUUUCUUCUAACAUUUCACAGGUAUGGAAUCUGAAACUCAGAGGGUUACCUCCACAAAUCAGUACCUUGAUUAAAACUAGAACUGAAGUCAUCUUCACUUCCUCGUCUUUCUCCCUCUUCAUUAGGACUGAUUGUAGACUGUUUCCCUCUCACUCACUUGCAAUCUAUAUUGCUUUAGUGCUGCAUUUGAUUUUAUCUUUGUUUUUAAAUACUGACAUUAAAGUUAUAGAAAAAUCUAAAAAAAAACUGGUUGAAUGAAAAUUUUAAAAUCGA
rnacentral:antisense_RNA from 1 species